rnacentral:rRNA from 1 species
AGAGAAGCAAUGCGGCGACGCAAAGCGGAACUUGAAAGCCUGUCUCAGUUCGGAUUGGAGUCUGCAACUCGACUCCGUGAAGCUGGAUUCGCUAGUAAUCGCGCAUCAGCCAUGGCGCGGUGAAUACGUUCCCGGGCCUUGUACACACCGCCCGUCAAGCCAUGGAAGCCGGGAGUGCCUGAAGUGUGCAACCGCAAGGAGCGCCCUAAGGUAAAACUGGUGACUGGGGCUAAGUCGUAACAAGGUACC